GGCUGGGUAGUUCAGUAGUUAAGAGCUCAGAUCUCGUAACCAGAAGGUCCCGGGAUCGAAUCCCGCUAGAGGCA
rnacentral:tRNA from 1 species